UACGGAGGGUGCAAGCGUUAUCCGGAUUUACUGGGCUUAAAGGGCGCGUAGGCGGGUAGGCAAGUCAGUGGUGAAAUCUUCGGGCUUAACCCGGAAACUGCCAUUGAUACUAUUUAUCUUGAAUACUUUGGAGGUAAGCGGAAUAUGUCAUGUAGCGGUGAAAUGCUUAGAUAUGACAUAGAACACCAAUUGCGAAGGCAGCUUACUAGACAGUUAUUGACACUGAGGCACGAAAGCGUGGGGAUCAAACAGG
rnacentral:rRNA from 1 species